UACGUAGGGCGCAAGCGUUGUCCGGAAUCAUUGGGCGUAAAGAGCUCGUAGGCGGCCUGUUGCGUCCGCUGUGAAAUCCCGGGGCUUAACCCCGGGCGUGCAGUGGAUACGGGCUGGCUGGAGGCAGGCAGGGGGAGAACGGAAUUCCCGGUGUAGCGGUGAAAUGCGCAGAUAUCGGGAGGAACACCGGUGGCGAAGGCGGUUCUCUGGGCCUGUACUGACGCUGAGGAGCGAAAGCGUGGGGAGCGAAGCAG
rnacentral:rRNA from 1 species